AUACUUACCUGGCAGGAAAGAAACCAUGAUCAUGCAGUGGUUUUUCUAUGGCAAGGCUUAUGCAUUGCACUAUGGAUGUGCUGACCCCUGCAAUUUUCCCAAAUGUGGGAAACUCGACUGAAUAAUUUGUGGUAGUAUAGGACGGCGUUCAUACUCUCCUCUG